UUUAUUCUCUCUAUAUAUAUGUGAUUCAUGCAUGCAGUUGAUUGAUAAUUUUGAAAGAAGCAAAGCAAUGAAAGGGUUGUGUAAGAGUGUUCCUGUUUGUGUUUUGCUUGUAGCGUACAUCGUAUUAACAACGAGUUCAUGGCCUCUCCAAAUAGAAGCAAAAAUUCCAGAAUUCGCAGCUAUCCAAGGAAGUAUAGUUCGCCGGAGUCUGAGGCCACUUCCCACAACUGUUCCCAGUCCUAACACGAAUGGACUUCAUCAACAGUUUACUCCUCGUAGCGGUUGGCCCUAAAAUAAAAUAAGUUUUAUAUUUAAUAAAAGUAAAUAAAGAGGGUUGUAGUUGAAUGAGAGUAUUAGAGAUUAAAAGAAAAAAAGUUUAACAUCUAAUAAAAGGUGAGCGUUAAUUGGUUUUGUAUAAUACGAGACCCUUUUUUAGUCUCUAACACUCUCCUUCAAAUGUAACCACUAUAUAACUAUGGUUGUUAGUCUGUUAUUUGAUUUAGUUUGUUUUUGAACAAAUGUAUUGUCACUUGUAUCGAUGAAUAAAUACUUAAGGUUGUACUUUAAUACUAUGUUAAGUGCAACCACUAUAAGACCAUAAAGUGUUAGUU